rnacentral:rRNA from 1 species
UACGUAGGCAGCAAGCGUUGUUCGGAGUUACUGGGCGUAAAGGGUGUGUAGGCGGUUGUUUAAGUUUGGUGUGAAAUCUCCCGGCUCAACUGGGAGGGUGCGCCGAAUACUGAAUGACUAGAGUGCGGGAGAGGAAAGUGGAAUUCCCGGUGUAGAGGUGAAAUUCGUAGAUAUCGGGAGGAACACCAGUGGCGAAGGCGGCUUUCUGGGCCCUACCUGACGCUGAGCACGCGAAAGCGUGGGGAGCGAACCGG